rnacentral:rRNA from 1 species
CCUANGGGUGGCUUCAGUCAAGAAUAUUCCUCAAUGGCCGAAAGGCUGAAGGAGCGACGCCGCGUGAAGGAUGAAGCCCCUUGGGGUGUAAACUUCUUUUAUAUGGGAAGAACAAAUGACGGUACCAUGUGAAUAAGGGGCUGCUAAACUCGUGCCAGCAGCAGCGGUAAUACGAGUGCCCCGAGCGUUAUCCGGAUUUAUUGGGCGUAAAGAGUACGUAGGCGGUUUGUAUCAUCUUUUGUUAAAUCUUGAGGCUUAACUUCGAGACCGCGAGAGAUAUGGACAGACUAGAGAAUGGGAGAGGUAAGCGGAAUUGCUGGUGUAGGGGUUAAAUCCGUUAAUAUCAGCAGGAACACCAAAAGCGAAGGCAGCUUACUGGAACAUUUCUGACGCUAAGGUACGAAAGCGUGGGGAGCGAAUGGGAUUAGAUACCCCANUANUC